AUUCCCCGACCCCUGGUUAACUAAUUUCUCUCGUUUCGGCUAGUGAAGCUGGAUCUGCGAUGCUCUCUCUAAUUCCAGCGGCAGGGCUUCUCGAUUCCGCUUAUGCUAGAGAAGGUUCAGGGCAUCAAUUCCGCGUCACCCUCUACACGGCUGACGAAUCGAUGAAUCAUGGCCACGACUCAAUUCCGCUCGUGAAAGAAGGCUCGCGAUGUAGAGCGGCCCAAGGCUCGGAAGACUCCAGUUGCUCUUCUUCAGUUCGUGGAAGAAGAAAUUCCGGAUGGAAGAUCUCGCAGGCAGCCGCACUGCCGGGUCAAAGAAGCCGCAUCCAGCUACGACCAUGUGCCAUGGAUAAACUUGUGUGGAUUGGCCUUUCUGAUUCAUGGUUCGCUGUGUUCGGCUCCCUGCCCAGAUUAUAAUGUGAUUAGUUGUAAUUUUUCAACUCCGACUAGUAGCACAUGUGAAGAAUAGAAUCGUAUCAUACCUUUCUUUUAGAUCAGAA